UGCAGGUGCCUCCGAAGGCCAGAGGCGCAGCACUCACCCCGACACAGAGCCCCGGUUCCCGGCAACCCCACGGGGCCAGACACACGGUGCCAGACACACGGUGCCAGGCGGCUGCCCCCGCGCCAGGCCGGUCCUCUCCUCCCAGCUCCUCCUCUCCCGCUCGCAGUCAGGGCAGCCAGGGAGGGGAGAAAUUCUCAUCUCAAAACUAGUAAGACAAGGCCCCGCAGCGGGUCUGCGGCGCGGAGGCGGCUGCCUCUCCUGGUCCAUACUGGACACAGCUGACCACAUUUCAACAGGACUAGGCUGCUCCUCGGCUGAGUUCUCCACACCAUCGGGGACGGCAUCGUCUUUAGUCCCACUGGCGUCUGCCCAGGGCCGAGCUCCACACCAGGCCCAAGCGUGGGCUCGUCAUUCCUAACACAUCAAGGGGAUCGGUCACGAGUUCCUCCCUGCCACCCACCCCGACUGUCCACUGCCAGGAGAUGUUCUGAUCACACCUGCAGAGACCUUGUGCGGAGUGGCAGCAAGGACACGGGCCUGAAACCCAGCGAUCCACACACUGUGCUGGGGGGUCAUGGGUGCGGAUCUGUGGCUCCUGAGUCCGCCAGCACCUAAAGAAACGGAGGGGAAGGGCACCCGGCACUGCCUCCACGCAGCCUUCAUGGGGUAGGUGUGGCCGCCUCCUGCCUGCGGCAGCAGCCAACAUGACCACAUGGAGCUCAGGCGCUGCUCCAGCAGCGAAGCCCACUGCUCCCCUGGGGAGGGUCCCACACUGCAGCCCACACUUGACUUUCUGCUCUCCAGCGGCGCUCGUCUACGUGAGCCGGCCACGGGGUUCCACAGCCCACAGCCGCUGCUGAACAGACCGUGCGCACAGGUGCGUGUGGCCGGCCACCCCAUCCUCCCGGGAAAGCACACCCUGGCUCUGAGCUCCAGCGGUCCUGGCGAGUCCACUUAGACGGAGGCGAGGAGCUGCAGAGACGUCCACCAUCCGGAUUUCCCGACUGCUGAAAUCCAGUAGUGAGGGGUCUGCCCCGUGGCUCACGAGUGCAUUUACAACAUUCCGAUUCAUUCACAAACACCUAGUAGGUGCCCACGAGGCCCGCGUAUAGGAAACGCACUGGAACCACAGAGACCACCCCGCGCCACCAAUGUUCCAGAAGCUCCCCACGCGGCACUGCAGCCCAGCCAGGGAAGCCUGGAGAAAACCUGCUUAUCCUGAAGCAACCGGGCCGGCCAGCCAGGAGGCCAGGCCUAAAAGGAGAAGAGAAGAAGGAGACGGUAGAGCAUGCAGGAGGGAAGCAUGCAGACUCGGGGCUGACUGCGUGUGGGGAGCUGCACGAGGGGCGGCCCCUGCGGCGAAGAUCGCUCCAGCAGGCAAUGCUGGCUGCUCCCUGAACGUGCUGCGCCCGGGGUGCUCCAGCUGGGCCUCCCGAGCCGGCACCGGCGGCCACCUGGAGUCCAGGGCGAGGCCUGAGCCGGAGCCCAGCGUCGGGAAGCCACCAGCACACAGGCGAGAGCUAAGCCGCUGGUCGCACACUGCAGCUCAGUACAAACCGAAGGCAGCCCCCGCGACCCGCCGACGGACAGAGGAACUGGAAGCAACGGGACGUCCGUCAACAACUUUUGGUAGUUUUCACGGUGACUUGUUUAAAGGUGGAAAAUGCAAGUAAUGUUGCAGAAACUCUCGGAAAACAUACCUAAAGGAUUUUUUUUACAGCCAUUCCUCUAGGAUUAUUUGUAAUAAAACAGACUAGAGUCUCAUCAUAUGCAUCCCGAUCACACGUGGGGAGUACAGCACGCGCAUCGCCUGCCACACUGGCUGCGCGGCCAAGGCCCCAGGACGCUGGGGCUUGCGGUGGGGCUCAGGCUCCCCACCACCCUGCAGGCAGCUGCACGCCAGGCCCGCCGCUGCCCGAGCAACAGUGCCCAAGCACGGACCCCGGGGCGCCCCUAACUUCACCACCUGGAGCUCUGCUUCAAAACAACCAGCCACCUGGGUGCUGGCGGUCAGGUGCGUCAGGAGGGGUGCUGCACGCUGCUGACACCCCGCCGCGUCGGGACUGGCUGGGCCCCUCCCUCAAACCAGAGGUCACAUGAGCCUUCACAACUCAGAACUCUAAACAGCACAAUCAAGUAGCAGUAUCUUCUUGUUUUUUAAAACCUAUAAAAUGAAGUCUCAAAAUGAGGUGAAACAGACGUAAACAGCAGGUGAGAAAUUACACACGCACACAAAACACACGGAAUUACUGGCUUUGCGAUCAAGACUAAGGCCUCGAGAGAAAGAAGCCCCCACAAGGACUUAAUUCCGAGGGGUUUCAUUACUAUUAGGCACUACUCUGGGUCUGCAACUAGUUUCCUUGCAUUCUAGCCUGGCUUUGUAGAUUCUGAUUCUCGGUUCAGCUCUUUGUGGCUGAUGUUGGAGCACAGCUCCCCGCCUUUGCGUAGCUGUGGGCUUUAGGGUUCCCAGGCCCCCUCCCUCUCACCUCUCACCGCUGUGACCUGCACCUCCGCUCUCUUGUGUUAGCGGGACUCUCCCGGCAAGCCUGCCAGACUCCUGGGCGGAAGGAAGCUCCGGAGCCACCUUGCCAGCGUCCGAGCAGUCACAUGGCCUGUUAAUGCUAGUUAGCAAGUCAAGGAAUUCUAGGAGAACUUCAAAAAAUUUUUAUUUUUGGUAAAAUAAAAAAGGUAAAAGGUAAAAACCUUUGAUUUACCUUUUUUACCUUUGAUUUUUUUAAAUACCUAUAACACUUUUAUAUAUUUAAUAUGUAGUACUUAGCGCAGAGAAGGUCAUGCUUGGAAAAGGUCAUGUAAAUACAUAGAAGAAAGGACAAAGAACAGGAAAGAGAAGAGAAAAAAGCGAACAUGUGCCCAGUGCAGUGGUGAAGUGUAACCCAGAGGGCGGCCGAGGAGAGCACCAGAAGGCGAAGCUGGAUGGGGUACUGGGGAGCAGCAGGGCUACCUGUUCCUCAGCCAGAGGCCCUCACAGGCUAAAGAGACAGGGGAACAAGCUGUGAACUGUCAGUCUGAGCGAUUCAACAACAUGAGAGUGUUCAUCGCUACCCCCACCAGGAGGAAUACGGGCGGAAUCACUAGAGGAACAAGAGACUGAAGUAGUGUUCUUGGCCGUCCACACAGCAGGCGGGCAUGGUCCGUCGUCACCGCACACCACUGACCGAUGCUCAACAGGGACCUAAUGAAACAGUGAACGCACGAGCAGUGACUCAGAGGUGCCCUGGCUGCCCCUGCUCCGAGUCCGUAGCACAUGCCCUGCUCCCUCCCAGGGAGGCCGCCUAUAGCCAAAUGGCCAAGGGUCUUACACCCUGGAAAAUAAAGCAGAGCUGGGAGGAGAGGCUACUGUUUAAUGGGCAUGAAGUUUGCAUUUGGGAAACGGACAGUAGGGAUGGUCGCAAAACACUGUGGAUGUCCCCGGUGUCACUGAACUGUGCACCUAAAAAUGGUAAAAUGGUAAAUGUUGUUAUGUCUAUUUUACCACAUUAAAAACUCUUUUUUUUUUUUUUAGUUUUUAAAAAAGAAACAGGCUACCUCUCUGAAAGUGUAACCUUCACAGAGCUGCCAAAGAUGCGGCCACGGGAGGGCCAGGACAGGGCAUCCCUGCCGGGAACACAGGACAGGAAUUCACGCGGCCACUCCCCCACGGAGGGGCAGAGGCUCCCCUGCAGGAUGCACGGGCACCUGGGACUCGGGCUGCAGGAAUCAGGCUCGGCGUCCAGGGAUAAAGGGCACAAAGCAGAGCUUCUGAGCCGUGUGGGAGGGCACGCUUACAGAACGGGGGCCUCAGAACAGGGCUCUGGCGGCGCAGCAGCCUGGGCCGGGCCGACACCCCGGGAGGCCUCGAGCGGCCGCACAGCAGCCACGGGCCGGACACAGAGCCGGGGGUGGCCGCAACGGUUCCAGCCCGGGGAGCCCCACAGCUGACGACGGCAGACUGCGCCUCGGUUACUCCCCACGUUGGAAAAACAGGGAAAACCUCAAAAAGGCAACUAACUUUUCCAGAAAGAGAAGCUGGAGGACCGCACCGACUUUCAGCACGACUGCAGAAUAGACGCAGAAAGACCUUUCCGACUAACGCAAACGCUGGCUGCAAUUCAGCAGAAGGUGGUUUUCUUUUUAUUGUUGUUACUUUAAAACCUGUUUAAAAGUGAGGGAUCUGCAGAUCCCCAAAAUUCUAAUAAGGGAGUUCUUAGCACUUUUUAACUGUAAUGUUUUUAACUUUAAGAACUUCUGCUGGACCCUGUAGAUCCCAAGUAUCCAUUUCAUUGUCACACUGGUGUGGGCUAUAGGAGAAAAGGUCUAGGCCUAAACGACAGGGGGAGUCUAGUAAGAAACCUUAUUUAAGGAUUCCAAACGCUACACCCUGGGUGCAAGAGUUUAUAAGAAAUAAAUCUCCCCAUGCAGAGAUGGGACAGUAAGGAAACUUAUCUACCUAAAAAUCAAUCAAUCAAUAAAGCUGUUCUCCACAAGCUGACCCUCAUGAAACAUCCAGUACAAACUUAUUCUCUAAUGGAGAAUUUAAUAAGUGGUCCUAAAUCUAUGAUGUCCUCAGGCAACCAUAGAAGCAAAAGCAAGUCUUACAGAGGAACUCACUUUCAAGGACACCUGAAAAACUUUCCCCAGGUGAGGUUCUAAGGAAAAUGAAUGGAUCCAGUUUUUAAAAAUAAAACCCACCAGGAAACUAGGUAUCAGAGUGAGAACCAACAAAAAUUACAGAGCAAAAAAGGGACCAAUAAAGACUUCAGAUACUAAAAUCAUCAGAAAGAGAUAUAAAAUAACUACAUUUACUGUGUUUCAAAAGUAAGAGGUUAAAAAAUGAAGACAGUAAGUGGACUGAAAAAAACAACUUCUGAAAAUGAAAAAAAUGUAUUACUGAAGUAAAAAUUUCAAUAGACAAAUGGAACAGAUUAGAUACAAUCAAAGAGAGGAUUUAUAAACUAAAAGAUAAAUGAGGGACGCCUGGGUGGCUCAGCGGUGGAGCGUCUGCCUCUGGCUCAGGGCAUGACCCCGGAGGUCCCAGGAUCAAGUCCCUGCAGGGAGCCCGCUUCUCCCUCUGCCUGUGUCUCUACCUCUGUGUGUGUGUGUGUGUGUGUGUGUCUGUGUGUGUGUGUGUGUGUCUCAUGAAUAAAGAAAUAAAAUCUUUAAGGCCCCUGCCAAAACUGAUCUGAUGCUUCUGAGCAGGGGCCCCUGGGGAUGGCUACUGCCCAGAGAGAUGGAGGACAGCGACCGGAGAGGUCUCCGCGGACGGUCCCCACCCCUGUACGUUUCCCCAGUAAAGUCUUUUAAAAGCCAAAAAAAAAAAAAAAAAAAGAAAAAAAGAGAUAAAAUCUUUAAAAAAAGAGAGAUAAAUGAAAAACACUCUACAAGACAAUCCUAACAGAACACAAUGAUAUGGAAAAUAUUAAAAGUUUAAAAACAUGAAAGAAUAAAAAAGAUUAGAAUGAGAAGCUCUUACAUAAUGUAUAAUUAGAAGGGAAUAAUACAGAGAAGGGGUAAAAGGGAAGAGUUGAGAGAUAAGGGCUUAGCCUCUUAGAGAAAUUUUGAAAAAUGUCAAUUCUAAGAUGAAGAAGAUAAUCAAUGGUGGGAAAUGAGCCCAGGUCAGAUCAAAAGUUAUCAUUUCCUUUCCUUUUUUUUUUUCUUAAGACUUUUUACUUAUUCAUUUGAGACAGAAAAAGAGAGAGAAUGAGCAGGGGGACGGAGUAGUGGGAG